rnacentral:rRNA from 1 species
AGUGAACGCUGGCGGUAGGCCUAACACAUGCAAGUCGAGCGGCAGCACAGUAAGAGCUUGCUCUUACGGGUGGCGAGUGGCGGACGGGUGAGGAAUACAUCGGAAUCUACUUUUUCGUGGGGGAUAACGUAGGGAAACUUACGCUAAUACCGCAUACGACCUACGGGUGAAAGCAGGGGAUCUUCGGACCUUGCGCGAUUGAAUGGGCCGAUGUCGGAUUAGCUAGUUGGCGGGGUAAAGGCCCACCAAGGCGACGAUCCGUAGCUGGUCUGAGAGGAUGAUCAGCCACACUGGAACUGAGACACGGUCCAGACUCCUACGGGAGGCAGCAGUGGGGAAUAUUGGACAAUGGGCGCAAGCCUGAUCCAGCCAUGCCGCGUGGGUGAAGAAGGCCUUCGGGUUGUAAAGCCCUUUUGUUGGGAAAGAAAAGCAGCAGGUUAAUACCCCGCUGUUCUGACGGUACCCAAAGAAUAAGCACCGGCUAACUUCGUG